ACUGCGGAAUUGGAGGUGAAGAAAUCAUCGCGUGGGCACACACAUUAUAGCGGGCAUGGGUUGUUUGUUUUUUCCCCUCUUAAAGUUUAAACUGCAUAAACUACCGAAACUACACUACAGAAACGGGGCAGUGGUUUUCACGGCGAUAAACAGUCCGUAUGUAUAAGAAAGGUGCUUCCCGCAUUCUCCCACGCCCCAUACUUACGCCGGUUGGGUCGAUGGUAGUGCCAGCUGCUCCGAACGACGUCCGCCCCCGUGACCGCCCAGCACGGUGCGCGCCUUGGCCUGGAACUCGCGAUCGAAGUCUUCCGCCUCCUCGUCGUCCAGGUUGAUAAAGUCCUGCCGUUCCUCCUGCACCCCGGUGGAGAUGUUCUGCUCCCGCUCGAUGAUGUGGGCCCGCUCGCCGAUGUGAUGCCCGAUGGCCAUUUUUUUCGUGCCGGUGCGGCUAUCCUGUACGGUUUUGCGCGUCUCCUUGAUGCCGCCCGGGCCGGUGCGCGUGCUCGACGUGGCCUGGUACACCUGCGGACCGUUCGGGCCGGACGUCAUCGAGAUGACGCUGCUGCUGCAGUACGACGGACCGUCGGCCGGGCCGCCCACACUCAGCAGUCGGUUCAUGGUCGGCGGCAUGAACGGCAUCAUCGCGUUGUGGCGCAUCCCGAACGCAGGCCCGGCGGCGAUGCUUUCCAACCCGCCGCCAACCCCACCCAUCAUACCGAACGGGUCGGAAAACAGCGAAUUCAGCAUGUUGCUCAUGUGGCGCAUCGAACGCAUAUGAUGGC